rnacentral:rRNA from 1 species
CAAUGGCGCAAACAAAGGGAAGCGAAACCGCGAGGUGGAGCAAAUCCCCAAAAGGCGUCUCAGUUCGGACUGCAGGCUGCAACUCGCCUGCACGAAGCUGGAAUUGCUAGUAAUCGCGGAUCAGCAUGCCGCGGUGAAUACGUUCCCGGGCUUUGUACACACCGCCCGUCAAACCAUGAAAGUUGGGAACACCCGAAGUCCGUAGUCUAACCGCAAGGAGGACGCGGCCGAAGGUGGGUUCAAUGAUUGGGGUUAAGUCGUAACAAGGUAUC